rnacentral:rRNA from 1 species
GGGGGAUAUUGCACAAUGGAGGAAACUCUGAUGCAGCAACGCCGCGUGAGGGAAGAAGGUCUUCGGAUUGUAAACCUUUGUCCUUGGUGACGAAAUAAAUGACGGUAGCCAAGGAGGAAGCUCCGGCUAACUACGUGCCAGCAGCCGCGGUAAUACGUAGGGAGCAAGCGUUGUCCGGAUUUACUGGGUGUAAAGGGUGCGUAGGCGGCUCUGCAAGUCAGGCGUGAAAACUAUGGGCUUAACCCAUAGACUGCGUUUGAAACUGUGGGGCUUGAGUGAAGUAGAGGUAGGCGGAAUUCCCGGUGUAGCGGUAAAAUGCGUAGAGAUCGGGAGGAACACCAGUGGCGAAGGCGGUCUGCUGGGCUUUAACUGACGCUGAGGCACGAAAGCAUGGGUAGCAAAC